GCCUCCAUAGCUCGAAGGUCGAGCAGCACAUUGGUAAUGUGCCGGUACGAGUUCGAUUCUCGUUGGAGGCU
rnacentral:tRNA from 1 species